rnacentral:rRNA from 1 species
GACGAACGGGACAAACGUUAUUCGGAAUUACUGGGCUUAAAGGGUUUGUAGGCGGCCUUGUAAGUCCGGUGUGAAAUCCCUCGGCUCAACCGAGGAAUGGCGCUUGAUACUGCACGGCUUGAGGGAGACAGGGGUAAGCGGAACUGAUGGUGGAGCGGUGAAAUGCGUUGAUAUCAUCAGGAACACCGGUGGCGAAAGCGGCUUACUGGGUCUCUUCUGACGCUGAGGAACGAAAGCUAGGGGAGCGAACGGG